GUCGAGCGGUAACAGGAGAAGCUUGCUUCUCGCUGACGAGCGGCGGACGGGUGAGUAAUACUUAGGAAUCUACCUAGUAGUGGGGGAUAGCUCGGGGAAACUCGAAUUAAUACCGCAUACGACCUACGGGAGAAAGGGGGCAACUUGUUGCUCUGCUAUUAGAUGAGCCUAAGUCGGAUUAGCUAGAUGGUGGGGUAAAGGCCUACCAUGGCGACGAUCUGUAGCUGGUCUGAGAGGAUGAUCAGCCACACCGGGACUGAGACACGGCCCGGACUCCUACGGGAGGCAGCAGUGGGGAAUAUUGGACAAUGGGGGCAACCCUGAUCCAGCCAUGCCGCGUGUGUGAAGAAGGCCUUUUGGUUGUAAAGCACUUUAAGCAGUGAAGAAGACUCCAUGGUUAAUACCCAUGGACGAUGACAUUAGCUGCAGAAUAAGCACCGGCUAACUCUGUGCCAGCAGCCGCGGUAAUACAGAGGGUGCAAGCGUUAAUCGGAAUUACUGGGCGUAAAGCGAGCGUAGGUGGCUUGAUAAGUCAGAUGUGAAAGCCCCGGGCUUAACCUGGGAACGGCAUCUGAUACUGUUAGGCUAGAGUAGGUGAGAGGAAGGUAGAAUUCCAGGUGUAGCGGUGAAAUGCGUAGAGAUCUGGAGGAAUACCGAUGGCGAAGGCAGCCUUCUGGCAUCAUACUGACACUGAGGUUCGAAAGCGUGGGUAGCAAACAGGAUUAGAUACCCUGGUAGUCCACGCCGUAAACGAUGUCUACUAGUCGUUGGGUCCCUUGAGGACUUAGUGACGCAGCUAACGCAAUAAGUAGACCGCCUGGGGAGUACGGCCGCAAGGUUAAAACUCAAAUGAAUUGACGGGGGCCCGCACAAGCGGUGGAGCAUGUGGUUUAAUUCGAUGCAACGCGAAGAACCUUACCUGGUCUUGACAUAUCUAGAAUCCUGCAGAGAUGCGGGAGUGCCUUCGGGAAUUAGAAUACAGGUGCUGCAUGGCUGUCGUCAGCUCGUGUC
rnacentral:rRNA from 1 species